GCUCUACCCUAAGCAGGCCAAUCUAAUAGCUUCUUUAUCCUAGUGAAAGACGGAGCAGUCCCACCAGCUCUGGUAGCUUCCCUCUGUCCACUCCAGAGAAGACAAAUCCAGGGAGGACACUCAGGAGCUGGUAAUUAGAUCCAGAGGAAAAUGUGAUCACCAGCCAGCCUGCCCAGACAGUGAAUGAUGUAAGCCUUCAACCCUGAUAAUCUCAGUGAGCGUGUAGCUGCCUGCAGCCCACCCACCAGUGAACACUGCUCCCAGGCCAAGGACAGAAGCAUAAUGUUGGUAAACUUGUGGAGAGCAAUGAUAAAGGACAGGCACCUGAGAUGAACCUGUCUGUGGGUGCUGCUGUCCCCACAGCUUCUGGGUGGCCCUCUUCUCUUGGACACAAAGAAAGAAGGGGAUGGAAGACACAGGUAAGCACUGAGUGCUGCACAGGUGAAUGAAUGCCGCACUGCUGAGCACCCACAGGUGCCACCUCCAUCAUUUCCCACGGGACACCAGGAUACGCUCUCCGACUCAAUACUCUGAAGCAAACUUUUUAAGUAACCAACAUCUGAAAGGGAGUCAAAGCCCUGGAAUGGAGGCCUUUUUCUCUUCAUGUGCAGCAAAAUCAUUACUGUGGUUGAACACGCGACACUCCCAGUGGCAGGAGAGGCCGGUAAUUACGGUGGGGCCGAGAGAGCGCUCAGGGUCAGCAAAACAAAGAGGAGGAAAUUGCUGCACAGAUUGGCUCAAAUAUCAGACUCAACGAAGAAGAAAACACAAUUUGUUCAUUUGGAAAAUGACUCCGGUGGCGUGAAUACCCAUGCAUGGUUGGAAUUCAGGGCAUGACAGAGUGACAGACAGCCUAUAGGGUAGGGUGUCUUCUGGGAGAAAAGGCUAUGUGCUACUUUUAGGCCAGAGAUGAAUUUGGUGAGCAGGGCAGAGGACAGCAGAGGGGACCCCUGUUUGUAAGUUAUAAGGCACGCAGGAAUUGCAGCAUUUAU